AGAGUUUGAUCCUGGCUCAGGAUGAACGCUGGCGGCGUGCCUAACACAUGCAAGUCGAGCGAAGAUGUCUUCGGACAUCUUAGCGGCGGACGGGUGAGUAACACGUGGGUAACCUGCCUCAUACAGGGGGAUAGCCUUCCGAAAGGAAGAUUAAUACCGCAUAAAAAGUAUUUUUCGCAUGAAAGAAACUUUAAAGGAGCAAUCCGGUAUGAGAUGGACCCGCGGCGCAUUAGCUAGUUGGUGAGGUAACGGCUCACCAAGGCGACGAUGCGUAGCCGACCUGAGAGGGUGAUCGGCCACAUUGGAACUGAGAGACGGUCCAGACUCCUACGGGAGGCAGCAGUGGGGAAUAUUGCACAAUGGAGGAAACUCUGAUGCAGCAACGCCGCGUGAGUGAAGAAGGCCUUCGGGUUGUAAAGCUCUGUCUUCUGGGACGAUAAUGACGGUACCAGAGGAGGAAGCCACGGCUAACUACGUGCCAGCAGCCGCGGUAAUACGUAGGUGGCGAGCGUUGUCCGGAUUUACUGGGCGUAAAGGAUGCGUAGGUGGGAAUUUAAGUCAGAUGUGAAAUACCCGAGCUUAACUUGGGUGCUGCAUUUGAAACUGGGUUUCUAGAGUGCAGGAGAGGAAAGCGGAAUUCCUAGUGUAGCGGUGAAAUGCGUAGAGAUUAGGAAGAACACCAGUGGCGAAGGCGGCUUUCUGGACUGUAACUGACACUGAGGCAUGAAAGCGUGGGGGAGCAAACAGGAUUAGAUACCCUGGUAGUCCACGCCGUAAACGAUGGGUACUAGGUGUGGGAGGUAUCGACUCCUUCCGUGCCGCAGUUAACACAAUAAGUACCCCGCCUGGGGAGUACGAUCGCAAGAUUAAAACUCAAAGGAAUUGACGG
rnacentral:rRNA from 1 species